rnacentral:rRNA from 1 species
GUGCACCAGGCGCGAAACCUUUAUACUGCACGAAAGUGCGAUAAGGCCAUACCGAGUGCCAUCCGCUGAGGGUGGCUUUUCUCAGGUCUAAAUAGCCUGAGGAAUAAGGGGAGGGCAAGCCUGGUGUCAGCCGCCGCGGUAAUACCAGCUCCCCGAGUGGUCAGGACGAUUAUUGGGCCUAAAGCAUCCGUAGCCGGCUUCGUUGGUCUCUUGUUAAAUCCAACGGCCCAACCGUUGGAAUGCAGGGGAUACCGCGGAGCUAGGGGGCGGGAGAGGCGGACGGUACUCCAUAGGUAGGGGUAAAAUCCGCUGAUCCAGGGAGGACCACCAGUGGCGAAGGCGGUCCGCCAGAACGCGCCCGACGGUGAGGGAUGAAAGCUGGGGGAGCGAACCGGAUUAGAUAUGAAGUUGAGUUUUUACCAGCUUCACUAGAUACCCCCGUAGUCC